AUGCCCCCGGUGCCUGCCGCGGCGUCAUCGAGCGUCCCCAGCGUGCCCCCGGAGAGAACCCCUACGGGGGGCACGGCGUCGCCGGGCAACUCUAUGGCGCCCCUGGAGAGCACCCCUACGGCUACGGAGGCCGCGGCGUCGCCGGGCAACUCUGUGGUGCCCCCGGAGAGCAACCCUACGGCGAGCCCCCCGCCCUCUGUCACCGAGCCAGAGCGGCUUUCUUUAUCCAUCCAAGAUGAAUCCACAACUCCCCUGCUUUCGGUGGACGUCCACGACCUGCACAAGCAUGCCAUCGAGUUCUUGGAGGAAUCGAAAGGAUACCCUGUCCUCGCGGAUCCUGCCGCCGGGUUCGCCAAGCUACUGGAGCUGUUCGCCGCGGCCGAGUCAAAGGCCAUGUAUGCGGGAGAUCUGAAGGCGGCCGCCUCCAUCUUGAGCAAAGCUGCCACCGAUGGCAAACUUCCGGUGAAUCUCGCGGGCACCGCGAAGAGGCUGGCAUCUGAGGCGAUGAAACUCGCGUCCGAGGUGGAGACCAGGCGUAUUUUUUUUCUCUUUGGCGAGGAUUCGCUCGUGCUGCUGCCUCUCGGCGUCCCAGAUAGCGCGCUGCUGGUCAUGGUGCUGCACUGA
rnacentral:rRNA from 1 species